rnacentral:rRNA from 1 species
GGAUUAGGCAUGCAAGUCGAACGAAGCUUAUUCCUUCGGGAAUAAACUUAGUGGCGAAAGGGUUAGUAAUACAUGAGUAAUCUACCUAAAACUCAGGGAUAACGGUUGGAAACGACCGCUAAUACCCGAUGUGGUGUAGCAAGGCAUCUUGCAAACAUUAAAGUGGGGGAUCAUUAGACCUCACGGUUUCAGAGGAGCUCAUGAGAUAUCAGCUUGUUGGUGUGGUAACGGCGCACCAAGGCUAAGACGUCUAGGCGAGUUGAGAGAUUGACCGCCAACACUGGGACUGAGACACUGCCCAGACUCCUACGGGAGGCUGCAGUCGAGAAUCAUUCGCAAUGCCCGAAAGG